AGCGAACGCUGGCGGCAGGCUUAACACAUGCAAGUCGAGCGGGCCCUUCGGGGUCAGCGGCAGAAGGGUGAGUAACACGUGGGAACGUACCCUUUGGUUCGGAAUAACGCUGGGAAACUAGCGCUAAUACCGGAUACGACCUUUUGGGGAAAGGCUUGCUGCCGAAGGAUCGGCCCGCGUCUGAUUAGCUAGUUGGUGGGGUAAUGGCCUACCAAGGCGACGAUCAGUAGCUGGUCUGAGAGGAUGAUCAGCCACACUGGGACUGAGACACGGCCCAGACUCCUACGGGAGGCAGCAGUGGGGAAUAUUGGACAAUGGGCGCAAGCCUGAUCCAGCCAUGCCGCGUGAGUGAUGAAGGCCUUAGGGUUGUAAAGCUCUUUUGUCCGGGACGAUAAUGACGGUACCGUAAGAAUAAGCCCCGGCUAACUUCGUG
rnacentral:rRNA from 1 species